UGCAUUCGCGAGUCAAGAUGUAUUCCUCAUUCCAUACGGAUUGAUAUCUGUCAAUACUUCAAUAAGGUGUACAAAAUAGUACAACUUUACCCACUUUCCUCCAUACGGAUCAGCAGUGAAGUAAUAUAAAUUUGUGCCAGUUUUUCGUCCACAUUUUUUGGCUAUGAUUUUACAAUGGUUUUAAAGCUAUCCUAAAUUUAGGGUUACUUGAUAUUUUUAUUUACGUUCAUCAUAAUGCCAACGUGCAUACUCAAGUGCACCAUGUGGUAUGGGGGGGGAAUGGAGUUCUGAUUCAUGGUGUAUCAAAAUUUACGGACUAGAUCAGCGAAAGAUGGAAGCGUUUACGCAUUCAUUCCCAGAAUUUCAAAUUGCAGGAAAUAAUCAUCCUACGGUGGAUUAUAUGAAUUUCCAGUAUCUUUUUCUUACAUGUCCAGCUCAACCAACAAAAAUUGCAAUUAGCGAUGACUGCAUUUUGGGUGCUUUGAUCAAGUACCUCAAUUACUUGGAUUGUUACAAAUUGAAGGUAUUUGGAACCAGCGAAGUUGCGGAAAAAGAUAAGGGAACAAAGACCUGGACCUACACGAUGCAAUAAUAGCGUAAAUAACGUGGCUGUGGAAAUGCUUUACAAAGAUGAAAUUGAAUGUUUUCCUAACAAUAAUGAUGUCCAGAACAGCAUAAGAAUUAAUUUAAUUAAUGAAGAAUUAAGACGCUAAAGAAUUUACACUUAUUUUAUAAACUUGAAAUUCAAAAUUUACCUGGCUUACUAUGAGGGCCUCAUACCAAGUAUAUAAUCACAUAAUCAAAUUAAAUUGUAUUAUUGAAAAUGUUAAAAUCUGACUAAUCUUAUUUGUACGCCGGAAAUUAUUAAUUAGUAGAUCAUGUCAAUUUUGCCCGUUAAUAAUAAAGGAAGAUGAUGAUUCAUUCAUUUUGAAUUGUA